rnacentral:rRNA from 1 species
GACGAACGCUGGCGGCGUGCUUAACACAUGCAAGUCGAACGGAAAGGCCCUGCUUUUGUGGGGUGCUCGAGUGGCGAACGGGUGAGUAACACGUGAGUAACCUGCCCUUGACUUUGGGAUAACUUCAGGAAACUGGGGCUAAUACCGGAUAGGAGCUCCUGCUGCAUGGUGGGGGUUGGAAAUUUUCGGCGGUUGGGGAUGUACUCGCGGCUUAUCAGCUUGUUGGUGGGGUAGUUGCUUACCAAGGCUUUGACGGGUAGCCGGCCUGAGAGGGUGACCGGCGACAUUGGGACUGAGAGACGGCCCAGACGCGUACGGGAGGCAGCAGGGGGGAAUAUUGCACAAUGGGCGGAAGCGUGAUGCAGAAACGCCGCGUGCGGGAUGAAGGCCUUCGGGGUGUAAACCGCUGUCGCCUGUGACGAAGCGUGAGUGACGGUAAUGGGUAAAGAAGCACCGGCUAACUACGUG